rnacentral:rRNA from 1 species
ACGCUGGCGGCGUGCCUAAUACUUGCAAGUCGAACGCUGGAGAUCUAGCUUGCUAGAUCGAAGGAGUGGCGAACGGGUGAGUAAUACAUAAGCAACCUACCCACGAAGACUGGGAUAAUCUCUGGAAACGGGGACUAAUACCGGAUAGGUAAUCGGAAGGCAUCUUCUGGUUAUUAAAGGUUAAAAACACUGGUGGAUGGGCUUAUGGCGCAUUAGUUAGUUGGUGAGGUAACGGCCCACCAAGACGAUGAUGCGUAGCCGGCCUGAGAGGGUGAACGGCCACAUUGGGACUGAGACACGGCCCAGACUCCUACGGGAGGCAGCAGUAGGGAAUUUUCGGCAAUGGGGGCAACCCUGACCGAGCAACGCCGCGUGAGUGAAGACGGCCUUCGGGUUGUAAAGCUCUGUUGUAAGGGAAGAACGGUAGAUAGAGAAUAUCUAAGUGACGGUACCUUACCAGAAAGCCACGGCUAACUACGUGCCAGCAGCCGCGGUAAUACGUAGGUGGCGAGCGUUAUCCGGAAUUAUUGGGCGUAAAGGGUGCGUAGGCGGCCUGUUAAGUAAGUGGUUAAAUUGUUGGGCUCAACCCAAUCCAGCCACUUAAACUGGCAGGCUAGAGUAUUGGAGAGGCAAGUGGAAUUCCAUGUGUAGCGGUAAAAUGCGUAGAUAUAUGGAGGAACACCAGUGGCGAAGGCGGCUUGCUAGCCAAAGACUGACGCUCAUGCACGAAAGCGUGGGGAGCAAAUAGGAUUAGAUACCCUAGUAGUCCACGCCGUAAACGAUGAAUACUAAGUAUUGGGGAAACUCAGUGCUGCACUAACGCAAUAAGUAUUCCGCCUGUGGAGUAUGCACGCAAGUGUGAAACAUAAAGGAAUUGACGGGGGCCCGCACAAGCGGUGGAGUAUGU